rnacentral:rRNA from 1 species
AUAUCAAUAAGCGGAGGAAAAGAAACCAACAGGGAUUGCCCCAGUAACGGCGAGUGAAGCGGCAACAGCUCAAAUUUGAAAUCUGGCUCCGGCCCGAGUUGUAAUUUGCAGAGGAAGCUUCUGGUGAUAUACUGUCUAAGUCCCCUGGAACGGGGCGCCACAGUGGGUGAGAGCCCCAUAUGACAGAUGUAGAUCCUGUGUGAAGCUCCUUCGACGAGUCGAGUAGUUUGGGAAUGCUGCUCUAAAUGGGAGGUAAAUUCCUUCUAAAGCUAAAUAUUGGCCAGAGACCGAUAGCGCACAAGUAGAGUGAUCGAAAGAUGAAAAGCACUUUGAAAAGAGGGUUAAACAGCAC